UCCCUGGUGGCUCUGUUGGUAAAGAUCUGCCUGCAAUGCGGAAUACCUGGGUUCGAUCCCUAGUCUGGGAA
rnacentral:tRNA from 1 species